rnacentral:rRNA from 1 species
AUUGAACGCUGGCGGCGUGCUUAACACACGCAAGUCGAUCGGUAACAGGUGUAGCAAUACAUGCUGACGAGAGGCGGACGGGUGAGGAACGCUUGGGAAUCUGCCUAUCAGCGGGGGACAACCCGGGGAAACUCGGGCUAAUACCGCAUACGCUCUACGGAGGAAAGCCGGGGACCGCAAGGCCUGGCACUGAUAGAUGAGCCCAAGUCGGAUUAGCUAGUUGGCGGGGUAACGGCCCACCAAGGCGACGAUCCGUAGCUGGUCUGAGAGGACGAUCAGCCACACCGGAAUUGAGACACGGUCCGGACUCCUACGGGAGGCAGCAGUGGGGAAUAUUGGACAAUGGGGGAAACCCUGAUCCAGCGACGCCGCGUGGGUGAAGAAGGCCUGCGGGUUGUAAAGCCCUUUCGGUAGGGAAGAAAUCUCUUGCUCUAACAAAGCAGGAGUUUGACUUAACCUACAUAAGAAGCACCGGCUAACUCUGUGCCAGCAGCCGCCGUAACAC